rnacentral:lncRNA from 1 species
AUCAUAGAUUAAUUAAGGUUAAAAGAUUCGUCUCGCGAUUUACAGGCAAACUGCGUAAUUAAAUUUUGUUUUCGUCUAUAUUUAGUACUUCAUGUAUGUGUCGAAAGAUUUGAUUUGACGGGAAAUCUUGAAAAACUUUUUGAAUUUUGAUGAAAACUAAACAAGGCCUAAGCAUACGAACUCUACGACUAGUAAUCAAUGGUAUAGUUACUUUGUUGUCUUGUCGAGCAUAAAAAUCAACCCAUGUCAUGUCGCCGACUCACCGUGCAACUUGAUUAUUAUUACUUUUGCCGCUCUUGUUAGAUUACACAGAGCAGCAAGUGUACGUGCUGGAGCUGCUACGCAUUAUACUACACGCCUGCGCGAUUUUUUACAUCACUGGUCGCGCUCAGUACAAAGCCACAAGAUUUCUUCAGCGUAGCGACAGGUUACGCGUGCGGAUCGCCCAACUGGAUUUCACCAAAAAAAAAAAAGGAAAUGACGCAGUGUUGCUUGCUGCGUGAAGGAGGACGAGGAGCAGCAGCCCGUUCCAUGUGUACAUCUGUCAUCGGGGGCA